GACGAACGCUGGCGGCGUGCUUAACACAUGCAAGUGGAGCGACGAACCGGGGCUUGCCCCGGGGCAGAGCCGCGAACGGGUGAGUAACACGUGGGUCACCUGCCUCGAUGACCGGGACAACCCGAGGAAACUCGGGCUAAUACCGGAUGUGCUCUUCGGAGGAAAGGUAGCUUCGGCUUCCGCAUCGAGAUGGGCCCGCGGAGCAUUAGCUUGUUGGUGGGGUAACGGCCUACCAAGGCGACGAUGCUUAGCUGGUCUGAGAGGACGAUCAGCCACACUGGGACUGAGACACGGCCCAGACUCCUACGGGAGGCAGCAGUGGGGAAUCUUGCGCAAUGCGCGAAAGCGUGACGCAGCAACGCCGCGUGGGGGAAGAAGGCCUUCGGGUUGUAAACCUCUUUCAGUUGGGACGAAGCUUCGGCGGUGAACAGCCGCCCGGAGUGACGGUACCUUCACAAGAAGCCCCGGCUAACUACGUG
rnacentral:rRNA from 1 species